rnacentral:rRNA from 1 species
UUCCAGACUCCUACGGGAGGCAGCAGUGAGGAAUAUUGGUCAAUGGCCGCAGGGCUGAACCAGCCAAGUCGCGUGAGGGAUGACGGCCCUACGGGUUGUAAACCUCUUUUGUCGGGGAGCAAAGAGAGUCACGUGUGACUCAUUGAGAGUACCCGAAGAAAAAGCAUCGGCUAACUCCGUGCCAGCAGCCGCGGUAAUACGGAGGAUGCGAGCGUUAUCCGGAUUUAUUGGGUUUAAAGGGUGCGUAGGCGGAACAUUAAGUCAGCGGUAAAAUCGAGGGGCUCAACCCCUUUAAGCCGUUGAAACUGGUGAUCUUGAGUGGGCGAGAAGUAUGCGGAAUGCGUGGUGUAGCGGUGAAAUGCAUAGAUAUCACGCAGAACUCCGAUUGCGAAGGCAGCAUACCGGCGCCCGACUGACGCUGAGGCACGAAAGCGUGGGGAUCGAACAGGAUUAGAUACCCGGGUAAA